rnacentral:rRNA from 1 species
UAGGGAAUCUUCGGCAAUGGGGGGAACCCUGACCGAGCAACGCCGCGUGAGUGAAGAAGGUUUUCGGAUCGUAAAGCUCUGUUGUUAAGGAAGAACGAGUGUGAGAAUGGAAAGUUCAUACUGUGACGGUACUUAACCAGAAAGGGACGGCUAACUACGUGCCAGCAGCCGCGGUAAUACGUAGGUCCCGAGCGUUGUCCGGAUUUAUUGGGCGUAAAGCGAGCGCAGGCGGUUAGAUAAGUCUGAAGUUAAAGGCAGUGGCUCAACCAUUGUAGGCUUUGGAAACUGUUUAACUUGAGUGCAGAAGGGGAGAGUGGAAUUCCAUGUGUAGCGGUGAAAUGCGUAGAUAUAUGGAGGAACACCGGUGGCGAAAGCGGCUCUCUGGUCUGUAACUGACGCUGAGGCUCGAAAGCGCGGGGAGCGAACAGG